rnacentral:rRNA from 1 species
CCUACGGGAGGCAGCAGUGAGGAAUAUUGGUCAAUGGCCGAGAGGCUGAACCAGCCAAGUCGCGUGAGGGAUGAAUGUCCUAAGGAUUGUAAACCUCUUUUGUCGGGGAGCAAAAUGGCUCUGCGGAGUCGUAUUGAGAGUACCCGAAGAAAAAGCAUCGGCUAACUCCGUGCCAGCAGCCGCGGUAAUACGGAGGAUGCGAGCGUUAUCCGGAUUUAUGGGGUUUAAAGGGUGCGCGGGGGGCGAGUAAAGCAGGCGGGAAAAUAGCGGGGGUCAACCCCGUAGAGCCGUUUGAACUGGCGCGCGUGAGUACAGGCGAGGUAGGCGGAAUUCGUGGUGUAGCGGUGAAAUGCAUAGAUAUCACGAAGAACUCCGAUUGCGAAGGCAGCUUACCAGUCUGCGACUGACGCUGAGGCACGAAAGUGUGGGUAUCGAACAGGAUUAGAUACCCUAGUAGUC